rnacentral:lncRNA from 1 species
UAUUAUUUCAAUUUUAUUUUAUUUGACACUCAUUCAUAUAUAAUCAGUCCUUCAUACAUCAUAACCCUAAAAUAUCAUUUAGAAGCUUAAUUUGUGUGACCAUUGCCACAAUUCAUACAAUAUACUGACAAUAUAAAAACUCGUAUACCAUUCACAACUUUAUAAAACAUAAGAAAAACAGAGAGAUCUUUCAAGACCAACUCUUCAAACAGUAUGAAAAUGUCCAAUUAUUUAUUCAUAAGUAAUAUAAAACAAAAAUCAACAUUUGUUCAUGAUUUAAAAUAAUGUUUGCUCACUUGUACCAAUGUUUCAUGAAUUUUAAACACCUAUCACAACCUGCUUUUUGGAGUUCUAAGAGUAAUGUUUAAGAUUCCUUUUUCUUAUUAAUUAUCCCUUUAUCAUUCAUGAUUAAUUUUCUGCUGACUGCUGUAGGGUUUGGUAGAUUUAAAAACAAAGCACAGAGAUACUUUUGUAUAAAUUGAAUUCAAAUUAAUUUCACUAGAUAGAUUUGUUGGUAGAAUAUUUUUGUCUAAUGAUUUUAUGAUGCAGUAUAAGCAUACAGUUGACAUAUUUGUGAUACCCAUUUAAAUAAUAAUAAUAAGCAGUUAUGGCAAACAUAAUAAAACAUUUCUUUUUAGAAUUUAGAUAUAUUAAAAUAAAUGUAUCCAAAUCAAAGUUAAAAUAUCCAAAAGUAAACCUUAAAUAAAAGUAUGUAUAUUUUUUUUAUUCUUAACUGAAAGGAAAAGCAAAUGACAGUACUGGACUUUCAACUUAUUUUCAAAAAUAAAUUGUAAACCACAAUAUUUCUGAAUGAAAUCUCCCCCAAUUAAAACAGGAUUGCUAAUGCAAGUAAUUAUUAAGGUGUUCAGUUUGGAUUUUUUUAAAUCACUAUUUUUAAUCAAUCUACUGUCAUUGAACCAUUAUCCUAAAAUUCAGCAGUACAGUAUGGCGAUAAUUUAUAAACUGCAAUCCUGAGAAGUAGCAUUUGUAAAAUAAAAAGAAUCAAAAUAAUUUGGCAUAAAAACCUUCCAUCUUGGAACACACUUAACUGACAGAAUGUACCAACAACACAUAAAAUUGAAACACACUAAAACAUGCACACAUAAAAUAUGAAUUAAGUAUAAAAUUCAAACAUUUAACCAACUCUAGAUAUAUACUAAUGUUUAACAAUAUUUUGAAUAUAUAAAUGACAAAUAUAUUGAAAUAUCCUAAUAUUAUUUGUACAGCCAAGGACCUUUAGCUCUAAUAACAAUGAUAACUUAUGGAAAUUACAAACAUCACAAUUUCAAACAACUAGGCAAUAAAUCUAACUAAGACAAAAAAUGCAAAAGGACUUUUAUAUCAUUUAGUCCAUGAAACUACAUCAAAGGUAAAAAGAAAAAUAAACAAGAAUUUCUCUCUUUUUAAAAGUUACAUAGUCUUGUAAAAGUUAAUAUGAAUUCCUAACCCAUAACUGGCGAUUAAAUAUUCUCAGAUUUUUUUUUAUAUUUUUGGUUUUCUAAUAGAGCUCAUUCUUACUUCUACAUUGACAACUACAUAACUGCCACACAACUGUUGUACUAUUUUAUCCAUUGUGUGAGUGCCACAUAGUCUUACCUCUUGCUUGACAGACCACUGAUUCAGAUCUAGAUGAGUUAAAGAAUUAGAAAAUAAUGGGCCCUCAGGUAAGUAUCAAGAAAUUUGGUUUAAAGAGGGUGCUGCCCCUCAUUGACCUACAAGUACAUGAAGGGAUACCCUUAUGUGGCGAAUUUGAAAUUUUUUGAAUGAAAAAAUAUAACUUUAAAAAUUAUUUUGCUGAUUAAAAAGUGUGCAUACAAACACAAAAUAAACCCUUAGUAUUAAAGAUGUUAUUGGUUUUCACUUGCAACUGACUGUCAAAGAAGAGCAUCCUUGUCACUUUGAAAGUAUAAAUGAGACAGGAAAAUAAGAUAAAUUGGACAUAUUAUACUUAAGGUUGGUGGUUUGAAAAUAUUAUUGCUUGCAUGUUUUUGUGGUAAAGUCUGUACACAAUAAAUGUUAAACAUGUAAAUAAGUGAUCCCUGAGACUGCAUUAAUAAAUGCAAAAAUGUUGGUCAAAAAUAAACAAUUCUAUUGGUUGAAUUAAAUUUGAGAUAUUAAUUAAGUUAUGAGACCAGAUUUUGCUCUUUUGAUUUCAUAAAUUAAAUCUGAUAGAAAUUUGAAUUUUCAAAUAUUUAUUCAGCUGACUAUUUGAAAGAAAAAAUAAUUGUUUAUCAAA